rnacentral:rRNA from 1 species
GACAGAGGAUGCAAGCGUUAUCCGGAAUGAUUGGGCGUAAAGCGUCUGUAGGUGGCUUUUUAAGUCUGCCGUCAAAUCCCAGGGCUUAACCCUGGACAGGCGGUGGAAACUACCAAGCUGGAGUACGGUAGGGGCAGGGGGAAUUUCCGGUGGAGCGGUGAAAUGCGUAGAGAUCGGAAAGAACACCAACGGCGAAAGCACCCUGCUGGGCCGACACUGACACUGAGAGACGAAAGCUAGGGGAGCGAAUGGG